GGGCCCCUUGGACAAUCAGAAUGUGUGCUGGGGGUGGGGGGGGCUGCAGUACUCUUCCACAAAAAUGGCACCCAAUGCUGUGCUAGGAUGGUGAAAUAUGGAGGUAGCCUUCAGAAUUAGUUUUUCUAUGUCUUCCUGGCAGUGAGGUUCCCAGAACUGAGCUCAGUUUUUCAGAUUUAGUCUCACUAGAAGAAAUAAAAGGGAUCUGCUGUCUGACUCUCUUACUUGUUCAAGGUUUAUAAGAAACGGGCCGCCGGGCCAGCCUGUCCUAUCCUGCAAGACCUGUGUCUGCAGGGGGCCCCACAGCCAAGGGGCCCCCUGCACCAAACCACUCACCACCCCGCCUCCUUGCAUGGCCACUGCCACCUUCAUGUUGGGUCGCUCACCACCGCCCGCUGCUGACACCGCCAACGACAGCUUCGCAGCUGGCUGCUCGCCACCCCCCACCCCUGCUGCCGAUCCCACUGCUGCUGUCUUCUUCAGCCACUUGCCACAUCUCCCACCCUCCCCGCCACCACUGCCGGCUUCUUUGCAUCAGAGGGCCUCAAAACUCUUUCUUGCAGGGGACUCCAAAAUAUUGUGGGAUGGCUCUAGCAGGCAGCGCACAGACUGGGAAAUGAUGUUCCAAUCUUUUGGCUUCUGCUGUUUUAAGUCUUUUAUGUCAAGUCUAUUACUAGUUAUCUGUCAGAGGAAUAUUAGUGUUAAAAGUUGUUCAUUAUAAAAUAUAUCAUGUAGGUUUCCUUAUUUUGAGAAAAUAAUUUUCUCUCAUGUUUUGUUUUAUCCCUCCUCCCAAAUUAUGUUCACAUAUACACCAUGGAAAGAAUUGAUAGUGUGCUUUUUCUAUAAUCAUUUAUCCAGCAGAGCAGGGGUGGGCAAUUAGUUAAGCUGGAGGGCUGCUUAAUGAGUUUUGAGGAGCUGUUGAGGGCUGCAAGGGUGGCCUCGCCCCCUGGUCACCAUCGUGGGACCAGAAGUCCUGCCCCUAAUCUUUAACGUUUGCCACUGGAAGUCCCUCCCCUUGUCCCUGGAAGUACUCCUUUUGGGAAGGGGAUUUGCCAUCUUGAAAUCAGGGGUAAAAAUCAAAUUAUAUACUAAAAAUUGAACAUCCAUAAUAAUAUAUUCUAAUUUUAUUUUAAAAAAUAUUUUUGUCCUGAUUUGUGUGUGGGUGUAAGUGAUUGCAUAAUAGCUUAAAAUGGAGUCCUCUUUGUAUA